rnacentral:rRNA from 1 species
GACGAACGCUGGCGGCGUGCUUAACACAUGCAAGUCGAACGGAAAGGCCCUGCUUUUGUGGGGUGCUCGAGUGGCGAACGGGUGAGUAACACGUGAGUAACCUGCCCUUGACUUUGGGAUAACUUCAGGAAACUGGGGCUAAUACCGGAUAGGAGCUCCUGCUGCAUGGUGGGGGUUGGAAAGUUUCGGCGGUUGGGGAUGGACUCGCGGCUUAUCAGCUUGUUGGUGGGGUAGUGGCUUACCAAGGCUUUGACGGGUAGCCGACCUGAGAGGGUGACCGGCCACAUUGGGACUGAGAUACAGCCCAGACUCCUACGGGAGGCAGCAGUGGGGAAUAUUGCACAAUGGGCGGAAGCCUGAUGCAGCAACGCCGCGUGCGGGAUGACGGCCUUCGGGUUGUAAACCGCUUUCGCCUGUGACGAAGCGUGAGUGACGGUAAUGGGUAAAGAAGCACCGGCUAACUACGUG